UUGUGUGGAAUUCUUGCACCACCUGGGAUUAAGGAAAGCUGGAAAUGAAGGAGGGGUGAUGAGAACAGAAUUUUCAUCUUGCAAGUUGCAAUAAUAACUAAUCAACUAGAGAUGCACCUUUAGGUGCUACGAUUCUCUGUGCACUUGGUCAGACGUUGGCCAAUGAGCUAUACCAUCCAAUGCGUACAUACCUUCUCAAAAGCUGGUCAUGUCUAAGGCUCUAAUAUUCACAGCCUAAGAAGUAAGAUCUAAGGUUGCAUUCAACUUCCCUAAACCUUUCUUGUUCACGAAAAAAUGAUGAUAGGAAAAAAUUGCAGAUUAGCCAUAACAUGAGCAACUUGGUGAUAACAUUCACAAGGAAUUCCAAAGGGGCAUCACCCUUGUACAAAGGCAAAUAGAAAGACAAAGCAAUAUAGAAAACCCUUACAAUCAAAACAAAAAGUGACACAGCCGGGACUCCAUAUAUGAGGAUGUAUAAAUGCAUAACGAGGUUCAUAUUUUGGUUAAUGUACAUGUUACUAUAUAUCUGUUGUGUGAAGAUAUGUGUCUACAUACAUGCGUUGCAAAGAGCAAACAAUAAUGUUUCUUUCCCCAAAAGAUAUUUUGACAAAGUAGAAGCACAUUUGAUAGCUAUGUCUCAGACCUACGGUUCUAACACUUACAAAAUUAGAAAUGUCGAAAUCAAUAAUGAUGUACAAACUAUGCAGUUUGGAAAAUAUCCUUUCAUGUCAGUGUUAAACCAUGUACAUCAACACAAGUCCACUAAAUUUCCAUUCUUCCUCCAAUAAGUUCUUUCAACAUUGAUUCACCAUCAUUCAAUCUUUCUUUCUUUUUUUAUGGCAACCAAAUCUGUCUCAAUACCCUGUCGCAACUUAACCCCAAAUAGGAAUACAUCAUUUAAGUGGAAGCGACCCAAUCGACCCUCUCCAUCCACCAAGAAAACACCGGCAGUGAUCUUCAAUGUUGUCCCUUCCUUGUUGAGUAUUCUACUAUUGUCCCUUCAUAUCUACUCCCACAUGACUUCAUCUUUAACUCUGCCUUCCCCUGAAAUGCUACUUAUUCAUCCCAAGAUUCUUACUUCCACAAUUGAUGGCUAUCCUUGGAUAUUUUCAAUGCCACCUUGAACCGUCAAGAAGGCACAAUUUUGAAGUACAUCCCUUGGUAAAGUGUUACAGCACUAGUGUAUAAUAGGUCAUAAAGUAGUCAGUUUUCUGCGAGGGAGUAUCCAGUAAUUGCAAUAUUAAGUUUUUUAGAAACAUAUGUCACACUCUGCCAAUAUAGAAACCAGCACAUUUUCUUGAUUUAAUAUGAAUUAAUCAAUAAGAGUGAGAUUUCCAUUUAAAGAUUCUACUCCUACAGCUUUUUAUUUUCUUUUUGCAUGGUGGUGAGGGAGCAGUUGACAUGGUUCUAAAUAUUUCCAGUGCGCCUCAGAAACCAAGCAAUUCCAACGGUUCAUCUAUUAACUUAUUGAGUAUUUCGUUACAGCGGCCACAUUGUGUUGCAAUGUUGCAAGCUAGCACUGCCAUUAAAUUAAUUAUAUUUUGCUUAAUCCGUUCUACUUAUAUUGGUUUCAGUCCUUCAGAGCUAUACAUUAUUUAACCAUCAAACCUAAUAAUGCAAUUUCUCAUUUCUUUUUUGUUCCUUAUAAAUAAUCCUUUUCCUUAACCAGCAUAGAAGUUGUAUCAAUUCUGUUUUCUCCAAGCAGUUUAAAGUGAAUAAAUUGCUUCCAUUGCCACUACUAAAAUUGCUUCAGAUAUUCAAAAAUUUAUUCCCCUUCCCUUUAUCUUCUCUUCUUGGAUAAUACGUGAUGAGCUAUCUGAUGCAUCCUUAAGCAAUGAAAUACAAUGCCAAAGAAAAACCUGGGAAAAAAAGUUUAUCACAGUUCAAUGCAACUCCAUAUGAAAUAGUCAAAAUUACCCCUAAUCAACAACUUGAACAUAACCGAAAACUGACACAAAAUAAGUGUAAGGAAAACCCCAAUAGACUGGAUGGCAGCAACAACUUUCUCUCGAGUGUUUUAGUCCAAUUUAACAAACUUAUUCACUGGUAGAGAGCCCCUUAAGUAAAAACAACUUAUCCUCUGUUCCACCUAUUAUUUUCAUGAGUUCUUAAGAUCUUGAGCCUCAACUACCAUCAAACUCCAUGUCGAACCAAGAAACCACAGCGGCCAUCAAAUGCCUGAGCUCAAGGAAUUGGCUUGCAAUUAAGUGAUUUUCCUUGUUUUCACGCUACACUUCACUAAACGAGCUCAUUUAAAAUCCUUAUUACCGUUUGAUGAAACCACAAGGAAUUAGUUACAUUACGCCAAAUCAACAACUCGAUCAUAACCAAAACAUGACACAAAAUAGGAGGAAGGAAAAACCCAAUAAACUGAAUGCCUGAAUGUGAUGAAUUGGCUUGCAAGUAAAUGAUUCGCCUUGUUUUUAAGGUUACGCUUGACCGUAUGAGCUCAUUCAUAUUCCAUAUUACCGUUCGAUGAAACCCCAACGAAUUAGUCACAUUACCCCAAAUCAACAACUUGAACACAACCAAACAAUGACACGAAAUAGGCGGAAAAAACCAAUAAACUGGUGGCGGCUACAACUUUUUCCACGAGAGUAUUAAUUCAAUUUAAGAAAUUAAAUUCACCGGUCACUAUAAACGAAGCGAAAACAGCAGAAGAUAGAGUGCAAAGGUUGGAGAUUUGCUAAGAUUUUACCUGACAAAGAUUUACAUCUGAAGCCCAAUAAACCUUUUUUGGUUUCUGCAGUCCUCGCAUAUUUACAAAUACAGAUUUGAUUGUUGUGAAUAUAUAUGUAUUUUUCAAAUCUAAUACUUAUCGAUGAAGCAAGCAACCGCAACAAUCAGUCAAAGCAGGAAAUUAACCGCUAGAUUUUUCCAUUCUAAGACGAUCUAACAGGUGGAAAACGCGAUGACGGAGAUCAAUCGAUGACGAAAACAAAUAUAUAUAUAUAUGUACACGAGGGGAUCAAAGUAAACCCUAGUCAAGAAACCCUAGGGUUCUCUCCCUCUGUUUCGCCUUUGUUUUCAUUAUCUGUCUAAUGCUAAGACCCUACGAA